rnacentral:rRNA from 1 species
GCCACAUCACCCUGAAUGCGCCCGAUCUCGUCUGAUCUCAGAGGCUAAGCAGGGUCGGGCCUGGUUAGUACUUGGAUGGGACACCACACAUGGAACUGGUAC